GGGGGGAGGCAGGGGACCCCGUGACGGGGGAGCAGGCUGCCCCCAGCCCCAAGGAGACACCUGCGGGAGAAACCCCAGACUCUCUGAGCGUCGAGACUGCUCUGUGGCCAAGGCCAUUUACAGCAGUAAAAGGGAUCGUUUUGCGCUGAUGCCUCGGAAUUACGCCCUGAAUCCGAAUCUCAGUGGCCCCACGGCAGGCAGAGAAAUGAUUUUCCUCGAAUGCGAAACCUGGCUUUUAGGGAAGUUGGAGGUGGCCCCGGCUGCCCAUGGACCAGGAGCGGGAGCAGUCACACAGGUUUUUCUGGAGCCUGCCCCGCCCGCUGAAGCUGAGUCCGAGGCGCUGUGCCGCCUGGUGAGCGUCCCCACCGCGUGCACUCGUCCCCACCUCCGUCCUCUCCGCGAUGCUCCCAUCCCGUCUUUCCUGUGGGCCAUGCUCUCUGCUCCCAGGCCUUCCAGACGAUUCGGGAUGGCAGCCGUCUACUACACGGAGCCUGGCCCUGACCUUCUUCUGCAGAAAUCCCCCCAGCCUCCUGGGCAGCAGCGGCAGAAGGCUGUCGAGUACAGGGCUGGCUCCCCCCCAACUUUCAUGUCCCUGUUGAAGACGGUGGAUGGCGAGACGAACCAGCCCCUGGAUGUGUCUGUCAAGGUCACCACCGGCAGCUAUGAGUUUCAAAAGAAAAGAGAUCUGAGCCUCCUCCUCAAGCCUGGCCUCUUGGCAUCGUAGUCCAACGCCCAUCACCCCGGAGAGAACAGAAGCCGGUUGAGCACAGCUCGGUAACUCUUGGCGUCCUGCUUGCAUCAGCAGCAUGGCCGGCUUUGUGAAGCCCACCUACCCGCUGUCCUCCUUUGUCCCAGACCCUGCUCAGAACCUCAAAGCCCAGCAGCAGAACCUGGUCCCCUUCCUGGAAUCAGACUAUGACCGGCGGAUGCAGCAAUAGGCCCUGCAUCCCGUGCGUGUCACCCGCACCCAGAGGCGGCUCCAGACACCCAGUUCCUGCCCGUGCCUUUCCUUCUCCCACAUCCCGACCAGCUGGCAACACUCCAGGAUGCUCCAGUCGUUAGAAGGGAGUGGACCCGGCGAGGGAAAGAGGAGCAGCAUUGAUUCAAUGCAGCAGGAGCACAGAGAUGAGCCCAAAUCUCGACGAAAGAGGGGCCCUGACGCAGUGCCCCUUUCUCACUUGGCCCCCAGUCCACCGUCCAGUUCCUGGCGGACCACAGACCAGAGGUCACCGUUCUCACCAAGAUCAAAUGUCACGCCGGUCUGUGGUGGGGCAUCAGCCCUGCCAACCGGGCAGCAAUGGUCCAGGAGCUCGCCAAUGCCACGGCCAGCUCCAUCGCCGCGUCCUGGACCGUUCAGAGGUAACCUGGCACCACCCGAACCCACAGCCCUCUGAGCUCCCCGGCUCUUUGCGAGACUUCCAGGUAAACAUCAGGACCUUCCGAGUCCACAGCAGCAGAAAAGUGUAAGGACUAACCUUGAAUGAGGACCGCGUGGCUGUCAGGUACCGUGUGCGUCCAUCCUGCCUUCCUCUUCUCUCCUCUCUCUGUCCAAAAAAAAAAA
rnacentral:lncRNA from 1 species